rnacentral:rRNA from 1 species
CACGUAGGGUGCGAGCGUUGUCCGGAAUUAUUGGGCGUAAAGAGCUCGUAGGCGGUGUGUCGCGUCGGCCGUGAAAACCUGCAGCUUAACUGUGGGCUUGCGGUCGAUACGGGCAUCACUGGAGUUCGGCAGGGGAGACUGGAAUUCCUGGUGUAGCGGUGAAAUGCGCAGAUAUCAGGAGGAACACCAAUGGCGAAGGCAGCUCGCUGGGACGGUACUGACGCUGGAGGCGCGAAAGCGUGGGGAGCAAACAGG